rnacentral:sRNA from 1 species
GCUGGGCAUGGUGGCAUAUGCCUGUAAUCCCAGUGACUUAGGAGGCUGAGACGGGAGGAUUUCGAAUUCAAAGCCAGCCUCAGCAAUGGCGAAGUACUAAGCAACUCAGUGAGAUCCUGUCUCUA